rnacentral:rRNA from 1 species
UACGUAGGGUGCGAGCGUUAAUCGGAAUUACUGGGCGUAAAGCGUGCGCAGGCGGUUCGCUAAGACCGAUGUGAAAUCCCCGGGCUUAACCUGGGAACUGCAUUGGUGACUGGCGGGCUAGAGUAUGGCAGAGGGGGGUAGAAUUCCACGUGUAGCAGUGAAAUGCGUAGAGAUGUGGAGGAAUACCGAUGGCGAAGGCAGCCCCCUGGGCCAAUACUGACGCUCAUGCACGAAAGCGUGGGGAGCAACAGG